UUUUAUUUCGCAGGCGGCCAUAUUAGGUAGUAAAGCCGUAGCAGCUGUUGGUUCAUUUCCCAUUCAUCGAACAGGUCGAUCACCUCCUCCACUGUUUCUGUCGCCAAAGGCAAGUAAAUCAGCUCCAUUUUUCAAGAUUUCUUGCUCUUAGCGUUUUUAUGUAAUAUCACGUUCAUGUUUGCGCUAAUAUGAGUUCCGAUCAGAUGUCAUCCAUCGAGCAAUAUGCGUUCGGCCCUUUUAAGAUAGAUCCUAGGCAAGUGUUCUAUUCAACCCCUCUAUCCUACGCCUUGGUCAACUUGCGCCCUCUGCUUCCUGGUACUUAUCACUUCUUUCUGCUUUUACUCCGCUUUCUUAUGUGCAGACAAAACUGAAACUGUUUGAUGAAUUGAUUCAAUGAAAGAUUAGUUAUAUAUGCAAUUCAGGAGAAGCAAGACCUUGCAAUAUUGAAUUGGUUAGGGUAAUUAGCAUUUUGAAUAUGGUGUGGUGGUUUGAGUGUAAAAUUAAAAUGAGGGUUUUGAAGAACUUUUCGAUGAUGAGCCUUAGCCAAUAUGAUAUUUUGAUGGGUGUUUCAAAAUUUGUGUUUAAAAAGCAUAUGGCAGCAUAUGGGGAAAUCGGGAAUUUUCUAUGUUAAGGGAAGCCCUCAUGCAUCUGUUGCUGUGUGGAUCUUGUUUGAUUGAUUCUGGAUCCAUACGUGUCUCAUGCUUCUAUCAGUCUUGUAUUCCUCUAUAGAGGUCUCAUACUUUCAUCUGAUUUUUGAUUAAGUUUCUCUUUGCUUUUGCAGGUCAUAUCCUUUUUCUGCAGAAAUUCUAAUUCUUUGUUGGUAUUUGUUCCAACAUGUGUUUGUUUCAUUUAUUCCCUGAACCAAAAUUUGUAAUUUAUAAGGGCAUUUUUCAUAUAGAUCCCCCAGUUUUGGCAUAAGUAUUGCAAAAUUGAUAGGUUUGCAUUAAACAUCAUGAGGGAUAUUAGGUUAUGAUGCAGGCCAAAAACCAGGACUGGGUAACGUACAUAUCUAAAAUAUUUCCAUUUUGACAUCGCCCGUGAUAUAGUUGAUUAGUAAAAUUAAAGGACCUAGAGCACCUUGAUGUAUUAGGCCGAAGAUGAAGACCUACAGAGGCUGCCACUGGAUUGACUUUUUAUGCAGUCACGUACUAUUUGGUUCCUAUGUGUUUGUAUGUGAUGUCUAUGUGCAUUUAAAUUCUGUUAACUUAACAUUACGAACAUGUGCUUGUCUGCCCAAGGCGUGACGCGGUUCGCUUUGGUGAUCUUACUGCUGAUGAGACCCGUGAUUUAUGGCUCACGGCCCAGACGGUUGGCACACAGCUCGAAAGCUACCACAAGGCUUCAUCACUAGCAUUUGCCAUUCAAGUAAGUGCUGUCCCUAGUGGGCUCUUUCUAUUCUCAUAUCUGCAACUUGUGUGUUUGAUCUUAGAUGCUUACUAUGCAUGAUGAAUCAUGUAUGUUAUGUUAUUGUCAAGUUGUCUUCUCUUUUACGACUAGAAUGGAUGAAUGAAACUAUAAAACACUUCAGCCUCACGCCCCCCCCCCCCCCCCCCCAUCUUUUGCUAUCGUCUGCUCAUCAUUUCUCUUCUAGUUUUCUUCGUCAUUUACCUCUCCCUUCAUGCCUUUUUCCUGCUGCCUGCAUAAUGGACAUACUGAUUUCGGGAUGCUUUAUUCUAGGGAAUAAUUGGUAGCUACAUGUCAUCUAUAGAUCUUGAUGUCAUUUCUGUUUGACAAACUGACUCAUCAGCUCUUUAAUCUUUGGAUAUUUUUUCUGUUUCAGUGAUUCACUAAAUGUUUUGUUUAUGUGCUAGAUCUUAGUUGCUAGGUCAGAAAGCAUUUAUGGUCAGACAAUCUUGAUAUAUUAAUUAUGACUAUUUUGAAUUUUGCCGAGGAUAUGUUUCUAAAUACAACUGGACAUUUGAACCACUAAUUUUUUUGAACUUUCUUUUUUUUUUUUUGAGUUGUGUUUGUGUACUCUUCUAAAACCUGUUGAUUUCCUUUCAGCGUACCGCACAUUGGUUGCUGAAAUGUCUAACAAAUUAAGCAAUCACCAUAUUGUUGGAACUUCGUUGGGAACAUCUUUGCCGCGUGAUGCUUCUUAGAACUUAGGAUUGGUGCUUGUAUUUAUACAUAUCUAAUUUGCUUCGUUAUUAGUAUAUUGACUUCUUUGUAAUUUAGGAUGGACCUCAAGCUGGACAGACAGUGCCCCAUGUUCACAUCCAUAUUGUCCCACGCAAAGCUGCCAGCUCUGAGGAA
rnacentral:lncRNA from 1 species